rnacentral:siRNA from 1 species
UAACAUGAGGUACAUAAACUAC